rnacentral:lncRNA from 1 species
AUCAGUGCAGAGUUAGGCCAGAUUCAUUUUCAGAGUAGGAGGGAAUUUCAAAUUUUGGGUGAAAUGUCCCAACUGCCGGAAGGUGAAAGUGUUCUGUGAUGUAAAAUUUAGGUCACACUCUAUAAAGCUUCUCCUUAUUCUAUGUGUGAACAGCUAGUCUGUAUCUUCACCUAUGCAUAUUUAAAAAUCAACCUUAAGAAGGCUCUUGGCCACCAUAAUCCUUCCUACCCUGUAGCAAGAGCCCAGCCUCAGACUAUGCUUCCUUCUGCCUCCGAGUGCAAUGCCUUCCCCCGAAUCUCCAAGGUACCAAACCGGUCAGGGGCAGCUGAGACAGCUCUACUUGUACGAGUCCUCCCCAAGCCCUUGAAAUCACAGGCAUCUCUGCUGUCCCUGCCCUUCAUCCACAUCACUGAACAAUUAAGCACACACAUCUGUGUAGUUUUAUUUAAACUGUUCCAUGUGUGUUUGUUUACAAUUAACAACAUGAAUGACUGCAGGAUGGAUGCAGCAGAAAGGAAUGCUGAGGGAGGACUCCAGUUGGAAUGAGCCACUUUUCCAGGACUAGGAAUGAACUUUCCCCAAUACCAACAAGGCAGCCUCCAGGGCAAGAAAUGGUAACAGAAUCCAUCCUGUUGACAGUCAAGAUGGAAUUACAGAGAAUUCUCACCUCUUUUUUGACUCUCAGGUGGAAACCCCCUUCCCAUGGGGUGAAGCGCAGUCUGCUCCAGAGACCCACUGUUAGGGUCGGGGAUGUCACAGAAAUUAACAGGGCAGCCAAUUCCCAUCCAGAGGGGCCCAGGAUGACCCCGAACCCUCUAGCUCAGCCCCAAGCUCGGGCCAGGGAGUGAAGCCUUUGUCCCCAAGCAACAGAGUGAGGGUCUGUCUCUAACCCGGUGGGCUCCAGUGAAAGGAAAAUGGCCUGGAGGUGCCCACAGGAGGGCGCCCUAGUUCUGAGACAGGUCUACGGCUCCCAGACUGUGUCCCCAUGAGUAACAGAGGGACACGCAGAGGGGCAUACUGAGUGCCUAUAGGGGACUCACAGACUGCAGAUGCACGCUGCGGAUCCAGAAGCCGGUCAGGUAAUGAGGUGCAGAGGUGUGGGGAAGACCUGGGUGCCUCCCUGGGUGCCAACCAGCCUAACCAGCCGGGGCCACCAAACAGAAGUGCUUCUGACAUUAACGCGACACACAGAAGGUGUGUAGGGUGGGUAGUGGAAGUGACCGCAGAGGCCUCUGGGGAUUGUAGUUUUGGAGCUAGAGAGGCAGGCAAGCAGUUGGGUUCGCCCACACGGUGUGCCUCUCACAUCUGCACAGCGCACACAACCAAGCUUAGGAGCCGACUGUUAAGAUGCCCCAGUGACACGGACAAGUUUCUCCUCUGCAACCCAAUGAGAGCUGCUGACCACGAGAGCAUCGCGGGACCGCCAAAGGAUUCUGGAAAAUGUGGUCCCGGGUGGCCAGUGUGCGCUGACCUUCACCUGAAGGUACGGCUUGAAGGAAACUUCUGGAGGGUGGGGUGGUGUUGAAGAGAAGGCACAAUUGUCACCAUUUUGUUCAACAUGGGCGUUUUCUUUGUGCAUUGAUUUGCAUUUUUAAAGGUAUUCCAUUAAAAAUAUGUUUAUCUAUUUUAAUGU